UGGCUCUGGCAUCGAUGAAGAACGCAGCGAAAUGCGAUAAGUAAUGUGAAUUGCAGAAUUCAGUGAAUCAUCGAAUCUUUGAACGCACAUUGCGCCCCCUGGUAUUCCGAGGGGCAUGCCUAUUCGAGCGUCAUUAUCACCCCUCAAGCAUAGCUUGGUGUUGGGGACUGCGAUCAGCAGCCCCUAAAAUCAGUGGCGGUGCUGGCAGGCUCUAAGCGUAGUAAAUAUUUCGCUAUAGCGUCCGGCUAGACACUCGCCAGAACCCCCUAUUUUUAUGGAUUGACCUCGGAUUAGGUAGGGAUACCCGCUGA
rnacentral:misc_RNA from 1 species